UACGGAGGGUGCGAGCGUUUGUCCGGAAUCAUUGGGCGUAAAGGGCGCGUAGGUGGCCUGGUCAGCGUGCGGUGAAAGCUCGGGGCUCAACCCCGAGUCGGCCGUGCGAACUGCUGGGCUGGAGCACUGUAGAGGCAGGCGGAAUUCCGGGGUGUAGCGGUGGAAUGCGUAGAGAUCGGAAAGAACACCAGUGGCGAAGGCGGCGACCUGGGGUUGAAACUGACACGUGAGGUGCGAAAGCGUGGGGAGCAAACAGG
rnacentral:rRNA from 1 species